rnacentral:rRNA from 1 species
AUUGAACGCUAGCGGGAUGCUUUACACAUGCAAGUCGAACGAGUGGAGGACGGGUGAGUAAUAUAUCGGAACGGGCCCAGUAGCGGGGGAAAAAUACUCGAAAGAGAGGCUAAUACCGAAUAAUAUUGGAGAGGCCGAAAUAGGAGUAGCGAGUUGGGGGGGUAAAGGAGGACCAAGGCAACGAUCCGUAGCUGGUGUGAGAGGACGACCAGCCACACUGGGACUGAGACACGGCCCAGACUCCUACGGGAGGCAGCAGUGGGGAAGUUUGGACAAUGGGGGAAACCCUGAUCCAGCCAUCCCGCGUGUAUGAGAAGGCCUUCGGGUUGUAAAGUACUGUUGGCAGAGAAGCGGUAUCUGCAGAAUAAGCACCGGCUAACUACGUGCCAGCCGCCGCGGUAAUAC